CCUACGGGGGGCAGCAGUAGGGAAUCUUCGGCAAUGGGGGCAACCCUGACCGAGCAACGCCGCGUGAGUGAAGAAGGUUUUCGGAUCGUAAAGCUCUGUUGUAAGAGAAGAACGUGUGUGAGAGUGGAAAGUUCACACAGUGACGGUAACUUACCAGAAAGGGACGGCUAACUACGUGCCAGCAGCCGCGGUAAUACGUAGGUCCCGAGCGUUGUCCGGAUUUAUUGGGCGUAAAGCGAGCGCAGGCGGUUUAAUAAGUCUGAAGUUAAAGGCAGUGGCUUAACCAUUGUUCGCUUUGGAAACUGUUAAACUUGAGUGCAGAAGGGGAGAGUGGAAUUCCAUGUGUAGCGGUGAAAUGCGUAGAUAUAUGGAGGAACACCGGUGGCGAAAGCGGCUCUCUGGUCUGUAACUGACGCUGAGGCUCGAAAGCGUGGGGAGCAAACAGGAUUAGAUACCCGGG
rnacentral:rRNA from 1 species